CCUCAGUAACGGCGAGUGAAGCGGCAACAGCUCAAAUUUGAAAUCUGGUCCUUCCGGGGCCCGAGUUGUAAUUUGUAGAGGAUGUUUCGGGCGCGGCGCCGGUCUAAGUCCUUUGGAACGGGGCGUCAUAGAGGGUGAGAAUCCCGUAUGUGACCGGUGACUAAGCCCAUGUGAAACUCCUUCGACGAGUCGAGUUGUUUGGGAAUGCAGCUCAAAAUGGGUGGUAAAUUUCAUCUAAAGCUAAAUACCGGCCAGAGACCGAUAGCGCACAAGUAGAGUGAUCGAAAGAUGAAAAGCACUUUGGAAAGAGAGUCAAAAAGUACGUGAAAUUGUUGAAAGGGAAGCGCUUGCAACCAGACCUGCCCGCGGGUGACCAGCCGUCCUUCUGGGCGGUGUACGCACCCGUGAUCAGGCCAGCAUCGGUUCAGGCGGCCGGAUAAAGGCCUUGGGAAUGUAGCUCCCUUCGGGGAGUAUUAUAGCCCUUGGCGCAAUGCGGCCAGCCUGGACCGAGGACCGCGCUCCGGCAAGGAUACUGGCGUAAUGGUUGUAAGCGGCCCGUCUUGAAACACGGACCAAGGAGUCUAACAUCUAUGCGAGUGUUUGGGUGUCAAACCCAUACGCGUAAUGAAAGUGAACGGAGGUGGGAACCCUUAAGGGCGCACCAUCGACCGAUCCAGAUGUCUUCGGAUGGAUUUGAGUACGAGCAUAGCUGUUGGGACCCGAAAGAUGGUGAACUAUGCCUGAAUAGGGUGAAGCCAGAGGAAACUCUGGUGGAGGCUCGCAGCGGUUCUGACGUGCAAAUCGAUCGUCAAAUUUGGGUAUAGGGGCGAAAGUAAGUCGGAUCCAGAGUAAUAUUUUAAGAAUUUCAGCUAACGGUAUCUCCAGGACUAAUCGAACCAUCUAGUAGCUGGUUCCAGCCGAAGUUUCCCUCAGGAUAGCAGUAACGUUUUCAGUUUUAUGAGGUAAAGCGAAUGAUUAGAGGCCUUAGGGAUGAAACAUCCUUAACCUAUUCUCAAACUUUAAAUAUGUAAGAAGUCCUUGUUACUUAGUUGAACGUGGACAUUUGAAUGCACCGUUACUAGUGGGCCAUUUUUGGUAAGCAGAACUGGCGAUGCGGGAUGAACCGAACGCGAGGUUAAGGUGCCGGAAUGCACGCUCAUCAGACACCACAAAAGAUGUCAGUUCAUCUAGACAGCCGGACGGUGGCCAUGGAAGUCGGAAUCCGCUAAGGAGUGUGUAACAACUCACCGGCCGAAUGAACUGGCUCUGAAAAUGGAUGGCGCUCAAGCGUGCUACCUAUACCUCGCCGCCAGGGUAGAAACGAUGCCCUGGCGAGUAGGCUGGCGUGGAGGUCCGUGACGAAGCCUUGGGGGUGACCCCGGGUCGAACGGCCUCUAGUGCAGAUCUUGGUGGUAGUA
rnacentral:rRNA from 1 species